UUGGCAUUUGAGUGGAAAUUUCAGCGGGAUAUAGCGAGCGGUAGGGAGUUUUCACCGAUGGUGAUAUGACGUCCCGUCGAGUCGCGUCUACCGCGGCGAAGCAAUGCGGAAAAAACCGGAGCGGAAUCCACGGUUAAAGGGAAAAUGCGCGACUGCCGCAGCAGGCAGCCAAGGUAUGCGAUUUAUAUGAUACAUGCAUCAGGACCUGAGCAUAAAGAUGGCUGUAACUAAGUUGUGAAACGUAAAUCAUAGUUAUAAGUCAACAUAAUAUUUGGCAUGACUAUGUAUGCUGCAUAAUAUACAACAUAUAGUAAUAUAUGUUGAUCUACGACUCACUUUUCACGACUCAAUCAGACUAAUUGUCAGUUACAGUCUUUGGACUCAGGUCUUUACUGAGUAUCGUCGGACUGAGAAUCGUAUUAGCGACGUCAUUUAAACGGGCGUUCCGCCAAACAAUAAUGCGUGUUUUGCGCGUUGCGGAGAGAGAGAAAUAUAUGUGAUCGGUCGGUUUGCUUACAUUUACAACGUUUUUGAUCGAAUAAUUCAUGCGAGUUAAAUGUUCUAUUCUAUAGUUUUGCCUCACCUUGACAUUAGAAAAUAUCAGACUUACGUAAAGUGUAAAUGUGUACCCGCAACACUAUGUAAAUGAGAUUAAAUUAUGUGAUGCGCAAUUUAUAAAUAAUUUGCUGCGCUUGCGUAUAUAUGUCUGCGUGCAUGUUGCAGCAAUUAAGACGCGAUGUUAUCGAUUCAAGAAGGCUCUAUCUCGGAAAGGCGUCGUGUCAUUAAAAAUAUACGUCGAUCGUCUAACGGAACAGCUGAUGAGGCAACGGUACUGAACCUGUGACAAGUAGGUAUACCAUAAUACGCGGAAUAGAUUUUUUUACGAGUUCGUCACGUGACCGCGACACGGAAUCGACACUCCGCGUGGAUUUCGUGCAAUUGAUUUUCAAUACUUAAUUCUCAAGGGAUAGGAUGCCGAAUUGUCUCAUUCCAACCGCAUUCUAUCCAGCGAUUACGUUAGCGACAAUCGUACCCGAGAAUGUUCACCUGAUAUGCAAACCGUCUCAUAUUUCGAUCCGUGACAAAGAAAACGCAAUAAUGAUGAUGAUUACAUGAUACGAGAUCGAUCAGUUUAUAAACAGGGAGAAAGAAAGAAGAAGGGAGGAUGACGAAAAGGAGCUGAUAGAAAAAAACAGAAA